UUCAUACAUUCUACAUCUACUCGUAUACUUCAUAACUUCUAUCACAAUCAUUUAUUUUAAGGCAAUUGGGGUGGUUCUAUCAGAAAAAUUGUGUUAUUUGCAAACGAGACUACGAAUAAUAGUGAGUAAAAGAAUAUACAUUUUUGAAGAAACGAUUUUAGUACGGCUACGCAAAAACGGUCAUUUUUAAUAUGAGAAAUGAAUAUCAACACUUUUUAUACAUUAAAUUCAUCUAAAUAGAAC
rnacentral:misc_RNA from 1 species